GGGGGGGGGGGGCCCCCGCGGGACCCCCCCGGAGCCCCCCCGGCAGCGCCCUGGAGCGGGGGGCGUGGCUGCACGCGCGCUGGUUGGACGCGGGGCGGUCGCUGCUGGAGCAGGGCGUGGCCGAGGAUGAGGAGCUGCUGCUGCGCUUCAAAUUCCCGUGCGCCCGGGGGGACCCCCAGGAGGGGCUGCACGCGGCGCUGCUGCAGGAGCAGGCGCUGGGGUCGCUCCUGGCCGAGGAGAUCGAGUGCAGCGAGGAGCAGGGGCUGCGCUUCGCUGCCCUGCAGGUACCCCGGAACACCCCGAAAACACCCCGGAAACAUCCCGGAAAUACCCUGAGAAC